AAGACACUGAGGAGAGAACCCUGGCAGAACCCACCCAGAAUUCUGACUGUACAGAUUUGUGAGACAAUGAACAGCCACUGUGAGACAAUGGUUUUGAAGCUACCCAGUUUGUGGUAACAUGGUAACCUGUUAGGCAGCAAUGGAAAACUAAUACAGGCAUUUAAACAGAUGAAUGAUAAAAGCAAAGCCCUUUUAUCAUAAUCUUUCUAACCAUACCUUUAACAUUAGAAAAAGCAUAUUUGGGAAUAGUCCAAUGAGUUUAACUUCCCUUUCUUUACUAAUUAUUUGCAGAGGCCUCUUUGCUCCAUGGAAAGCCUGGGCCCUCAGCCAACAGGGGGUCCCUGGGCCUAGAAGUCAGAGCAAGAUGCAGUGAUGACCUAUACUUAAUGUCCAGAAAAGGGCAUUACUCCAGGAAUCAGAGUGAUACCCCCUCAUACCAGCAACCAAAGACUUGCCAACACCAGAAGAGAAAACUGAAGCUCAGAGAAGUUGAGUAGCUGCUAUUUACUGAAUGUUUGUUUUCCUCUAAAAUUCAUAUGUUGAAAUCCUAAUUCCCCAGGGCAUUGGGGAUGGGGACUUUGGGACGUACUAGGUCCAGAGGAUGGAGCCUUCAUGAUGGGAUUAGUAUCCUUCUAAAAAGAGACAAGAGAGAGCUUGCUUCCUCUUUUUCUCCACCAAGUGAGAAUACAGCAAAAGACUCUGGCUCAGACCUCUCUCCAGAUGUCUAUUUAAGGGUUCACCAACAGCUGCCAGGAAGAUAAGAAAAAGUUGCUUAUUUUCUCUCAACUUAAUGCACAAAUUUCUGGAGCCUAAACACUCAUUUCUGGAAAGCUGUG
ensembl:lncRNA